GUGGGCGCGUAGGCGUCCUGGCCGCCCUUCCUGACCUCCGUGGCCGGCGUGUGGAGUCCGCCCCGUUGCAGUGCGGCUCGCAGUGAGCGUUUAAAGUCAGAGGCUCUUGACGCUGAACUACCUUUGGUCGGGGUGGUUAAGAGCUCGGCCGCGGCGAUGGUGCGGGGAAGAGCAGGCAAGGGUGGAAGCCCGGGGCUGGUUCCUGCGGAUGCAUUUCCUAGCUUUGUCCACUGAAAAGGCCUAGAAGCAAUGACAACCCAGAACAAUUUCUAAGUAUUAUUCUUCACUAUAAAGAAUCAGAACUCCUUAAAGAAAUGGCUGAAACCAGCUCUGGGGCAGAGAAAGCACAAGUUCUGGAGGCUGGGAAGUCAAGAUCAAGGUCCUGGCCAAUCUGGUUCCUGGGCUUCAAUAAAAAGCUUCUCUGGGACUUCCCUGGUGGUGCAGUGGUUAAGAAUCCGCCUGCUGAAUCAGGGGAUAAGAGUUUGAUCCCUGGCCGGGGAAUAUCCCACAUGCUGCGGAGCAACUGAGCCCGUGCGCCACAAUUACUGAGCCUGCACACCUAGAGCCCAUGCUCCGCAAUGAGAAGCCACCGCAAUGAGAAAUGAGAAGCCCACACCGCAACGAAGAGUAGCCCGCGCUCACUGCAACUAGAGAAAGCCCGCGUGCAGCAACGAAGAUCUAAUGCAGCCAAAAAUUAAUUAAUUAAUUAAUUAAUUUUUUUAAAAAAGCUUCUCUAACUCUUGACCACUCCCCUUAAAAGGUACUAGGUCAUUUCUAAUGUUUCAGUAUUAUGAAUAUAUUUUACGUAUUAUUCCUUUUAUAUCCUUAAAUACUUGCUUAGAAUAUCUGCCAUUAAUCCUAAGAAUCCUUAAUUAAAUGAUAGUUUCUACUUCAGAAGGCAAUCACUACCACAGGUCCAUGGUUACCAGUUACAUGGUUCCUUCUAGACCUGGUUCUGUGCAGAUUCAUGUUACCCAACUUCAAGUUCACUUUCCCUGCUAUUCAGCAGUUCUCUAGUCAGCUCCUUUUAACUUACUGUAAAGCAAACAAUAUGUUUUUUUAAGACAUCAGUUUCUUAAGCCCUCAUUACACAACUAUGCCUACCUUUUCCUAAAAUUAAUAUUUAUUGACAAGUAAUACAAGAACAUGUUAUCUUUAUAAAAUGGUGGAACAUUGCAAGUUUAACUGACUUGUGACCAUUUAUAUCUUCUGCUUAUUCUGUGCUAGGCACUGUUCUAGUAAUAAAUAAAAAAGACAAAAAUCCUUGCUCUCAUGGAAUUUACAUGCUAACAUGGGGAAGCCAGACCCCAGAUUAUUUAAAAUAUAUAACUCAUGAUUGUUCUAAGAGCUAUAAAGAAAAUAAGGCAGGGAAGAGGAAAAGGGACUGCAGAAGAGAUUAUUUUGUGCAGUGUUCUGUAGUUUCGCCUUUCACCUCUUUGGUUAAAUUUAUUCCUAGGAAUUUUAUCCUUUUGGAUGGUAUUAUAAAUGAAAUUGUUUUCUUAGUUUUCUUUUCAGAUUGUUUGUUGCUAAUAUAUAGAAACACAACUGAUUUUUGUGUAUUGAUCUUGUAUCCUGCAACUUUACUGAAUUCGUUUAUUAGCUCUAAUAGUUUUUCUGUGGAUACUUUAGGGUUGUCUACGUAUAAGAUCAUGUCAUCUGCAAAUACAGAUAGUUUUACGUCUUCCUUUCCAAUUUGGAUGACUUUUAUUUCUUAUUCUUGCCUAAUUUCUUUGGCUGGAACUUCCAGUACAAGGGUGAAGUGACAAAAACAACUAUCCUUGACUUGUUCCUGAUCUUAGAGGGAAAAGCUUUCAGUCUUUACCAUUGAGUAUGAUGCUAGAUCUCACACUUUUAUAAAUGUCCUUUAUUAGGCUGAGGAAAUUCCCUUCUAUUGGUAAUGUAUGCUCUUGAGUUGGAUUAUUUUGUUAUAAAGUAUAUUAUUGGGACAAUUGGUAAAACUUGAAUGGGGUUUGAGGUUUACAUAGUGUUAAUUUUCUGAUUUUGAUGAUUGUAAUGUAGUUAUAUAGGAGAACAACCUGUUUGUAGGAAUCACACACCAAACUAUUCAGAAGAGUUGUGCAUCAUAUGCUCAAAUGAAAGUUCUCUGUACUAUUCUUGUUAUAUAUCUUGAAAUAUAUUUUUCUGUGAGUUCAAAAUUACUUCAAAAUAAGUAUAUUCCUUAAGUAAACAUUUUUGUUCAAAGAAAUCCACCAUAGACAAAGUUUAACAAAUGACUGAAUGAGAUAUUUGCAAUCUAAAUUCAAUAAGGGAUUAAUAUCUAGAAUACAAGUAAACUCUGGUAUAU